rnacentral:snRNA from 1 species
ACUGAUUUUAGCCAAAAGGCCAAGAGGCAAACAUAGUAGCUAUUCCUACAAGUUUAAUAUCUCAUACAUCCUCUAUCCAAGGACAAUAUCUUAAAUGGGUUUUUGAAACUAGGAAGUCUAAUAGGAACUUUCUCCAUCAUUCAAUGCACUGACUUGGUUUUGCAGUACUUCCAGAAAUGGUGUGUCCCCU